CAGAGUAUUACACUCCUAAACACCUGUCUACCUUACUACGUUGCUUCGGCAGGAGGCCCCUGGGAGGGGUCGUUGGGUGCCUGCCGGAGGUCAUACAAACUCUUGUUUUACACAAACCUAAAGAUUCUGAGUUAUACUUUUAAAUAAGUCA
rnacentral:misc_RNA from 1 species